GACGAACGCUGGCGGCGUGCCUAAUACAUGCAAGUCGAGCGCAGGAAGCUGACGGAACUCUUCGGAGGGAAGGCAGUGGAAUGAGCGGCGGACGGGUGAGUAACACGUAAGGAACCUGCCUCAAGGAUUGGGAUAACUCCGAGAAAUCGGAGCUAAUACCGGAUAGUUCAACGGACCGCAUGGUCCGCUGAUGAAAGGCGCUCCGGCGUCACCUUGAGAUGGCCUUGCGGUGCAUUAGCUAGUUGGUGGGGUAACGGCCCACCCAGGCGACGAUGCAUAGCCGACCUGAGAAGGUGAUCGGCCACACUGGGACUGUGACACGGCCCAGACUCCGACGGGAGGCAGCAGUAGGGAAUCUUCCACAAUGGACGAAAGUCUGAUGGAGCAACGCCGCGUGAGUGAUGAAGGUUUUCGGAUCGUAAAACUCUGUUGUAAGGGAAGAACACGUACGAGAGGGAAUGCUCGUACCUUGACGGUACCUUACGAGAAAGCCACGGCUAACUACGUGCCAGCAGCCGCGGUAAUAC
rnacentral:rRNA from 1 species